GUACUAGGAUGGGUGACCUCC
rnacentral:siRNA from 1 species